AUGAAAAAAAAUUUAUCUACAACAAACAACAGGAUCUUAGAACCCUACCCCUCCCCUUUAAAAGAACUUGUAAACAGAAAAUAUUGGUAUAAGUUACAAGAAAAUUGCACAAAGCCAUAGAAAUGAAAAAAAAAGUAAGCCACGACCCUUCAGAUUUUCAUCAGCCGGAGCGAAGGAAAUACAGAUGGUGACGAGAUCCGAGUUGUGUGCUAUUACAAAAUCCCAGGAACUCAAACAUUUUUGAUACAUUUUGUCUUAACGAACUUGUUCACAACUAUUGACUUGGCCAGUGGAUAGACCGCCCACACAGGGACACGAUGGGUUCCUUUCAAAACAAUCUUUUCAACUUGAAGAUAGUGUCACACUGUUGAACACACUUAAGAAUUCAAACCAGCCUGGGCAUGUACUCCUUUGUUCUUUUCUCAACCCACUCUAUAGUUUUUGGGGGCAAAUGGUGACUUACUUUCAGGCUGUUCUCUAGGGUGUCCAUGGAGCAGGACACACACAUGGGGAGGUUCCUGUGUCUUACCUGGAAUAGGUGCUUUUGUGUGAUUUUAUGCAAACAGGGUUCCAAAAGCAGUUGUUUCUAGAGGUGAACCUGCUAAAGAUUAUUUUAUGCAUGGGUAUACACUCAUGAGAUAGCUCAUUAAUGCUGGAAAAGAAAGAUUUCUCUAUAAAAGGCAAUUAUUUUGAAACAUACCUUCCAAGUUUGUGGAAUGAGGAAAUGGUCACAUUUUGAGCCCUCAGGCUAUUAAAGCUGGAUGGGAGUUUAGAAUUUUGGUCAGGCUACGUCGUCCCCCUCAUUUCACAGACAAAUAGAGGCUGGCGGAGCAGGUCUGACCCCAGAGUCAGGAGGAUUACAGGAUGCAUAUAUGUGUUUUUGCAUAUCUUCGUGGGACAUGCAACCAGGGGGCAAUGGACAUGGGGGCAAAAGGCUAACCUGCAAAACCCUGAUUCAUACUGCCAUUAGGCCUUGACAUUUUCCUGCUUCCCCGGCACUGAUUUUUCUUAGAAAGGUACAUUCAGUGCAUAUACUGUACACAAAUCUAUGCCUUUGGUUUGAUGAGGUUAGAGUUUAAACAAAUUUAAUAUUGGUUUUAUGUUUUUUUAUGGACUACUUCCCUCAAAAAGGCAUGGAUUCUUUAUGUAGUUGACUAGGCUAAUGCCUUUAGCGGUUCGAUGAGGUAUCUCAAUAUUUGUAAGUUGCUAUUAAUAAGCAUGAAGUGUGUAGAAUUCUGCUGUUUAAAAGUACUGAUUUUAGUAGUAUUUAAUAAAUUGAGACGGAAUGAAAACGAUCUUUAAAAUAAGUGAAACCAUCACUGUCACCUUAAGAGAUACCACAUCACAGGCGCUGCAGACACGUAAGAAUGAGUUGCAUGAGACAGCUUCUUCCUUCGGGCCAGAGUACAGAGUGGGCGGCUGCUGCUCCUCAGGUAUGCACACCUCCUCAGACCAGGCUUCUGUCUCCACGUGCCCAACAGGCCUUCUGGAGAGUGAGCCCAGAAUUUAGAGAGUUCAGUUAUUUGCUACAAACACUGACCUUCUCUUCACACAUAUAUUUGUGCAGUUUUUGUUCCAAGGAUUUACCCUCUAUUUGUUCUUAGGAAGAAAAGUUCUAAAAUGUAAUUUUGCAUGGUCUCUGUAUCUUAAGAACCAACCUUAAUUUGGAAAGCGGACACUUACUGACAAUAAUGCCUUCCUUUGCUGCCAUCCUUCCUCUUCAUUUCAUUCAUAGCACCUUCUAUUUUUAGUUAAAAAUAAAAUGUUCAAAAGAAGGGGCAAUAUUAUUUUAGGAUAUGUCAUCUCAAAGAAAUCUGCUCUGUAUAUAAUCAAUACCAAAGGAUGCAAAAAAAAAAAAAAAAAAAAAAAAAAAAGCCCCAACCAAAACAAAACCUACUUUUAAAGGAUUAAUAGGAAUUUUUUCCCAAUUAGAAAAGUUACAAAUUGUCCAGCAGAAAAAACACCUUCUAUCAUAUCCUCUUUAUUUCUCACAGCAAAAUAUGCUGCUACCAAAUAACUCAUUACAAACACACUAUUUUUCUAAAUAAAUAAAAUGGGCAUAACUCACCAGUACAGAGUAACAAAAUAAUUCCUAAGAACACUAUUAAAGCAAGAUAAAUAAUUAUCUCUUGGACAACAAAACAGGGGAACUGCAUUUAAAUUAUUUUAGAAAUAGGCCAUAACCAUUAUUGCACAACUAAUAAUAAGCAUUGAAACAUCUUACCAAGCUACAGAAACUCCUAUAAAAGAAUUAUGUAAUUCUGAAUACACUGCUAAAUUCUUUCUUGAAGAAUUUACCCACAAAGAAUCAGGUUCAAUAUUUUAAAAUAUAAGAUGGAAAACUCUGAUGUUAGCUGGGAGAUGUCCUCAUCUGUGUUUCUUCAGGGUUUGGAGAGAAUGGUGAGUGAUAUCGUCUUGCUAUGGGGUAAGGAACGGGCCAGUUUCUUCUCUAGUUUUUAAACCAAAACAAGGAAUGUAAAAAUACAUAUUUUCAAAAGACUUUUCUAUAGUGUCUUUCAUUUGUCUGCUCCAAACACAAUCCCAAUUGAGGACCCUCUGCCAGUAGACAGCUCCUGGGCUCCUGCCCUAAAAACAUCACAGGUGUGGGUAGCUGGCAACAGUGAGCUGGGCUUUGUUAUCAGGGCUGGAUGCUGCCCAAGGUGUUCCCUAGGGAGGAGGAGGAGGAGGAGGAGGAGGGAAAAGAUCACCUCAGGGGAUUUUCUGUUUUUUUUUUUUUUUUUAAAUCAACCAGCUAUCUAAAGUACUAUAAUUUUAAUAAUGUGUUCCCAGUGGCUUAUCUCCUCAGUGAACAGUCUGUACAGUUAAUAAAGAACACUUUUUCCUCCUAGAUAUAAUUGAGGGACUUUUU
rnacentral:lncRNA from 1 species